GUGCGCAGGGCAGAGCAGUCCCGGUGUGUAUUGUGUCACUUGUCUAUUGUGCAUUCUGUGUGUUUGGCUGUCUCAUGUGUUUUACCUUAGCCCUUUGAGGGGCCUAUCAGAAACUCUGGCAUCUUUCUUAGCAUCUGUGAUCUCUGCAUUUCUUGGCCUGGCACCAGUGCCAUAGGGCUUUUGACUCAGGAGCUCAGACAGGCAUCAGAAUUGCAUUUCUCUUUGGAAGCAUCCAGUCAGAUGUCUUGGAAGGUCUUGUUCCGAGCCGUACGGACAGCUGCGCCUCGCAAGGAUCCAUUAUUGCGGAUUAGGACUUGUAAGAAGUAGAGGAUUCUGACCGUAGGAUUCACAGGCAUCCGUCUUUGCAGUUCUUAGAAGAAAUCAUUCAGUUAGCAUCUUCUUCCUCCAGGGUUCUGUGAGCCUCAUCAGCUUGCCGUCAGUCUAACCUCGGUCAUCUAAUGUUGCAUUCUGUCGGUCCUUGCAGUCAUUCUCCUUGCCAAGUGAUUUCUGUCUCUGUUGUGUCCCCGUUGUUUGUCACGUCCUGUCCUGUGUCACGGGUGUCUGCACAUAUUUGUGCCGGAGCUGCUCUGCCCUGCCGCAUAGCCUGGUGUGCUAGGACAAAUCCUGGGGGCUUGAAAUUUGUAGUGUGGGGAGUAGUUGGAUUCUAGAUGUGAUUUGUAGAUGGACCCAAGAUGUCUGGAGCUGUGAGGUUGUCCUGCAGCCCUUUGACUUUUGUCCUGACUUUCUUUCAGGUGCAGACGGAUAAAAUCGAUAGCAGAGCACCCCAACCCAGGAAGUAAAGCCAUCUAGCAGCAGUCAAGGUGAGGUGGUCAAGGUGGUCCACUUGCAUCCCAUGCCAGCCAAGGAUGCCUGAUGCCAGGU